rnacentral:rRNA from 1 species
UACGUAGGGUGCGAGCGUUGUCCGGAAUUAUUGGGCGUAAAGGGCUCGUAGGCGGUUUGUCGCGUCGGGAGUGAAAUCCACUGGCUUAACUGGUGGCUUGCUUUCGAUACGGGCAGACUGGAGGUAUGCAGGGGAGAACGGAAUUCCUGGUGUAGCGGUGAAAUGCGCAGAUAUCAGGAGGAACACCGGUGGCGAAAGCGGCUUACUGGGUCUCUUCUGACGCUGAGAUACGAAAGCUAGGGGAGCGAACGGG